CCUACGGGGGGCAGCAGUGAGGAAUAUUGGUCAAUGGACGAGAGUCUGAACCAGCCAAGUAGCGUGAAGGAUGACUGCCCUAUGGGUUGUAAACUUCUUUUAUAUGGGAAUAAAAUGUUCCACGUGUGGGAUUUUGUAUGUACCAUAUGAAUAAGGAUCGGCUAACUCCGCGCCAGCAGCCGCGGUAAUACGGAGGAUCCGAGCGUUAUCCGGAUUUAUUGGGUUUAAAGGGAGCGUAGGUGGAUUGUUAAGUCAGUUGUGAAAGUUUGCGGCUCAACCGUAAAAUUGCAGUUGAAACUGGCAGUCUUGAGUACAGUAGAGGUGGGCGGAAUUCGUGGUGUAGCGGUGAAAUGCUUAGAUAUCACGAAGAACUCCGAUUGCGAAGGCAGUUCACUGGACUGCAACUGACACUGAGGCUCGAAAGUGUGGGUAUCAAACAGGAUUAGAUACCCCAGUAGUC
rnacentral:rRNA from 1 species